rnacentral:rRNA from 1 species
CCUACGGGAGGCAGCAGUGGGGAAUAUUGGACAAUGGGGGAAACCCUGAUCCAGCGACGCCGCGUGAGUGAAGAAGUAUUUCGGUACGUACAGCUCUAUCAGCAGGAAAGAAAAUGACGGUACCUGACUAAGAAGCCCCGGCUAACUACGUGCCAGCAGCCGCGGUAAUACGUAGGGGGCAAGCGUUAUCCGGAUUUACUGGGUGUAAAGGGAGCGUAGACGGCAGCGCAAGUCUGGAGUGAAAUGCCGGGGGCCAACCCCGGAACUGCUCUGGAAACUGUGGAGCUGGAGUGCAGGAGAGGUAAGCGGAAGUCCUGGUGUAGCGGUGAAAUGCGUAGAUAUCAGGAGGAACACCGGCGGCGAAGGCGGCUUACUGGACUUUAACUGACGUUGAGUCUCGAAGGCGUGGGGAUCGAACAGGAUUAGAUACCCUUGUAGUC